GAACGCACGUGCCCCGGGUUCCCGGGCAGGCGGCCUUGAAAACCAGGCCUCCAGAGGGGGCGGGGUGGGGAACUGGAGUGGUUCGGGGGCGCCUGCCUUAUUCUCGCCCGUCUGGUUUGUUGGCUCGGGGCACAUCCAAACCUCGUCUACUUCCAUCCUCCGCCAACGAACAACUAGAGGGAAUCUUUGAGUGUUGAAUACGUCGUCCUUCGGGUGCCUCGCAACACUCAUCUUUCCCUUAUAAUGACGACUACAACAAGGAGAAAAACCAGUCUGGCAAAACUAAAACUGAAAAAAAUGACGUCUAUGAGCAGCCUUCUAAGGUGUUUAUUUUAGAGAACAAUCUUUAUUUGAGUAUACAAAAUCUAAAAUUAUCACAUCUAAUUAUCUAAAUAAUCCCACAACUUUGUGAUUUAAAAUAUAUUUAGGAUGUCUUUAGAUCUAAAAGGAAAAACAUUGAAUAAAUUCUCUCUCUCUCUCUCA